CUACGGGUGGCACCAGUGAGGAAUAUUGCGCAAUGGGGGAAACCCUGACGCAGCGACGCCGCGUGGAUGAUGAAGGCCUUCGGGUCGUAAAAUCCUGUCAGAAGGAAAGAAGUAUAUGGUAGCUAAUAUCUGCCGUAUUUGACGGUACCUUCAAAGGAAGCACCGGCUAACUCCGUGCCAGCAGCCGCGGUAAUACGGAGGGUGCAAGCGUUGUUCGGAAUUACUGGGCGUAAAGCGCGCGUAGGCGGCUGUUUAAGUCAGAUGUGAAAGCCCAUGGCUUAACCAUGGACGUGCAUUUGGACUGGGCAGCUUGAGUUCUGGAGGGGGUGGGGGAAUUCCCGGUGUAGAGGUGAAAUUCGUAGAUAUCGGGAGGAAUACCGGUGGCGAAGGCGACCACCUGGCCAGAUACUGACGCUGAGGCGCGAAAGCGUGGGGAGCAAACAGGAUUAGAUACCCGGGUAGUC
rnacentral:rRNA from 1 species